AUAGGUCACAUUUUAGUCACAAUUUGUCUUCGUUAAACGUUUUCGUAAAUCUAUUUAGAAUGUUUUUGUUAAAGAAAGUGGAACUGGGUUUAGACUGUCAUGAGACAGGUUAGUUUUAUCCUACCGAAGCAUCACGCGUACGCGGCACCCCGAGUCGUCGAGGCUUCGGUGCACAGCGGCGCGCUCGUGCAUUACCCGUCGCAGCCGCCAACGCUUCUGCAGACCUUUGGCAGAUUCCAGCGACGUCAAUUCGGUUACGGUUACCCAGUAGAGUAUGAAAGGGAAGCGCUGAAUCAGCGGUUUGCGUGCUUGCCCGAUAGAGCGGUGGUGCCGGGCUGCCUCUGAACGAUAAUAGUUGAACGCCUCUAAGCCGGAUCUGUAUGUAGCCGGACCCGAGUUGUUUUCCAAAAGCGUCUUAACCUCAAGACAUAUGCGAGAAUGUGUAUGAAUAUCGAGUGAGCGUCUAGAAUUGUAUCAAGGCGUAGGCCUUGUAUCAAGUCGUUAAGAUUAGAAGUUAGUGUAGCUUCUAAGUAAAUUAUAUAUAUAUGUAUAUAUAUACACACAUACACAAACCCACACACCCACAUAUAUAUGUAUGUAUACACAGUGUGUGUGUGUGUAUGUGUGUGUGUGAGUGUGU
rnacentral:ncRNA from 1 species